UACGUAGGUGGCUAGCGUUGUCCGGAUUUACUGGGCGUAAAGCGCACGCAGGCGGUCUUUUAAGUUUGACGUGAAAGCUCCCGGCUUAACUGGGAGAGGUCGUUGAAGACUGGAAGACUUGAGGCAAUGAGAGGGGUGUAGAAUUCCCGGUGUAGUGGUGGAAUGCGUAGAUAUCGGGGGGAAUACCAGUGGCGAAAGCGGCACCCUAGCGUUAGCCUGACGCUCAUGUGCGAAAGCGUGGGGAGCAAACAGG
rnacentral:rRNA from 1 species